UUCAAAUUUCAAAACACAGAAACAGAAUGCCAUCGGUCGCCAAAUGAAAGUACUACAUAUUUCCAUUCCGGAGUGCAAUAGCCACUUUUGACGCUAGAGGACUCCGGACUCCGGAGUGCAAUAGCCACUUUUGACACUAGAGCGCUCCGGACUCCGGAGUGCAAUAGAUUUUACCUUAAUUUUUCCCCGUGUAAAUUCCCAUAAGGAAUCGGGGUCCCUUUACUUUUAAUUCAUUUUCUACUUAUUGGUGUCUUAAAUCCAAUAUAUUUCUCGUGGAUCUUGUUCCCCGAAUAACUGGUUGUUUUGAUUCUGGAAUGUCAAAACAGACAUGUUGUAUGUUUGUGUGUCUGAACUCUGAAUAGGUCAGCCAAGUUAUGUAUUUAACUAAAGAUGUUGACUGGGCAUCUGGCACCAACACGUAAUCAUGAGAAUAAUUCCAUUGGGAUGGCUACUGUUAAAAGAAUUAGUCGCUCUGUAAGAAGGCAGAUUGCUAGUAUAUGUUGAAAGAUGUAAGAGGAUGACACCCACACGUUCCAAAAGAUGCAGUAACUGAUGUCAUGAAAGAUAACGCUGGAGAUACCCAAUGCAGAACACCUUUGAUUAACACAUCAACAAACGAGCAGCAUCCAUCUACCUGCAACACAGCUCUUGCAUUAGAAAACCAGGCAUUGGUUCUUCGAAUAAAAGUAUUGAAAAAUGAAAAGACAAUAACUAGUUGAAACAGUGUCACAUCUUCAGUAUCUGUAUUAAAAACUUCUUUUCACCUCGUUUAAUACAAUGUUUCUCUAGAAAAAAGAA